UUUUCAGGGGUAUGGGCCCGAAGCUUAAAACGUAAGUAGGUGUCCCUGCUACCA
rnacentral:tRNA from 1 species